CUUUUAAUUACAAAGCAUGUGUGAUGUGUAAUGGGUGGCCUUUUAUUUCAAGGGAUGUAAUACAGUUGCUAUGGCAAGCUUUUUAAUAAGCAAAUUUUUUACACUCUACACACGAUAAGUUGUAUUUUUCCCUUAUUCUUUCCACUAGGAAUUUCCAUUUUUUACCUUGACGGCAUUUCCUCCUGGAUUCCUUGUACACGUUGGGGGUGUAGUUAGUGCACGUUCUGUGAAGCUUUUGGAUCGUAUCCACAAUCCUGAUGAACCAGAAACUCGAGAUGCAUGGUGGGCAGAAAUCAGACAAGAAAUAAAAUCACAUGCUAAAGCAUUAGGCUGUCAUGCUGUAGUGGGCUACAGUGAAUCAACUAGCAUCUGUGAAGAGGUCUGCAUUUUAUCUGCAUCUGGCACAGCGGCUGUACUGAAUCCUAGAUUUCUGCAGGAUGGCACCGUGGAAGGCUGUUUGGAACAGAGGCUUGAAGAAAAUUUGCCUACACGUUGUGGAUUUUGUCAUAUACCAUAUGAUGAACUGAAUAUGCCAUUUCCAGCUCAUCUCACAUAUUGCUAUAACUGCAGGAAACAAAAAGUUCCUGAUGUUCUGUUUACAACUAUAGACCUCCCAACAGAUGCAACAGUUAUUGGAAAAGGUUGUCUUAUUCAAGCAAGGUUAUGUCGCUUAAAAAAGAAAGCACAGGCAGAAGCAAAUGCUACAGCUAUCAGUAAUCUCUUGCCAUUUAUGGAAUAUGAAGUGCAUACUCAGCUAAUGAAUAAACUAAAACUCAAAGGAAUGAAUGCUUUGUUUGGACUAAGAAUUCAGAUCACAGUGGGUGAAAAUAUGUUGAUGGGCU
rnacentral:lncRNA from 1 species